CUCUAGUACUGAACUAUAUCCCCAAGUACUUUUGAAUUUUAUUUUGAGACAGGAUCUGGCUACAUUGAUGAGGAUGACCUCAAACUUGUGAUCCUCCUGCCUCAGUAUUCCUGGUCACUAGGACUAUAGUGCUGGGAUUGACUCAACAAGGCUAAGCACAUGAUCUACCACUGAGCUAUACCCCCAGAGUUCAAAGUUUAGAAGUUUAAGAAAAGAGAACUGAUGGCUUCAUCACUUUUGACACAAACAAGAAGAAAAACUAUAACCAUGAGGUUUUUCAGAAAAUAUACCAUUUGUUUUACACAGGGAUUUAUCCCUGGCACAAAUUGAGCUUCCAAGCAAUAAAACUGCCAUGUGCAAGUUCUCUUUAAAGGAAAUCCUAUUUGAAGAUGUAUUGGGAACUAGAAUGUUAGAAGAAAGUGACAGACAUCUGAUCGCAAAAGCAGC